CUGGUUUUUCAAAAACAUGGUCUUUUGUUCAUAUAAAAGAUCUAGCCUGCCCUAUGAUUUAUUAAAUGGCUGCAGUAUUUUGACUGUACAAAGGUAGCAUAAUCAUUUGUCUUUUAAUUGAAGGCUGGUAUGAAUGGUUGGAUGAGAAAUAUACUUUCUUUAUUUUAUAUAAAAAAAUUAAUUUUUUAGUCAAAAAGCUAAGAUAUUAUUAUAGGACGAGAAGACCCUAUAGAACUUUAUUUUCUUUUUUAUAUAAAUUUUUUGGGUUUUUAUAAAAUUAUAUAAAAAUGUUAAUUUUAUUGGGGUGAUAGAAAAAAUUGUAUAACUUUUUCUAUUUUUUACAUUUAUUUAUGUUUUUGAUCCUUUUUUAGGGAAAAUAAGAUUAAGUUACCUUAGGGAUAACAGCGUUAUUUUCUUGGAGAGUUCUUAUCGAUAAGAAAGUUUGCGACCUCGAUGUUGGAUUAAAAUAAGUGACAGGAGUAGGAUAUUGUUCACUAGGUCUGUUCGACCUUUAAAUUUUUACAUGACG
rnacentral:rRNA from 1 species